GACGGAGGGGGCUAGCGUUGUUCGGAUUUACUGGGCGUAAAGGGCGCGUAGGCGGCCAUGUGUGUCAGGGGUGAAAUCCCGGGGCUCAACCCCGGAAUUGCUCUUGAAACUGCAUGGCUUGAGUAUUGGAGAGGCAAGUGGAAUUCCGAGUGUAGCAGUGAAAUGCGUAGAUAUUCGGAGGAACAUCGGUGGCGAAGGCGACUUGCUGGCCAAUUACUGACGCUGAGGCGCGAAAGCGUGGGGAGCAAACAGG
rnacentral:rRNA from 1 species